GGAUCGACGGGUCGGUCGCGCCUCCGGUGUGUACUGGCCUGGUCGGUUCCUCCCUUCUGAAGAACCGCGAUGUCAUUAAUUUGGUGUCGUGGGGAAUCAGGACUGUUACUUUGAAAAAAUUAGAGUGUUUAAAGCAGGCAAACGCUUGAAUACAUUAGCAUGGAAUAAUGAAAUAGGACGUUCGAUCCUAUUUCGUUGGUUUCUAGGGUCAACGUA
rnacentral:rRNA from 1 species